CACGUAGGGUGCGAGCGUUGUCCGGAAUUAUUGGGCGUAAAGAGCUCGUAGGCGGUGUGUCGCGUCGGCCGUGAAAACCUGCAGCUUAACUGUGGGCUUGCGGUCGAUACGGGCAUCACUGGAGUUCGGCAGGGGAGACUGGAAUUCCUGGUGUAGCGGUGAAAUGCGCAGAUAUCAGGAGGAACACCGGUGGCGAAGGCGGGUCUCUGGGCAGUAACUGACGCUGAGGAGCGAAAGCGUGGGGAGCGAACAGG
rnacentral:rRNA from 1 species